CCUACGGGUGGCAGCAGUCGAGAAUCAUUCACAAUGGGGGAAACCCUGAUGGUGCGACGCCGCGUGGGGGAAUGCAGGUCUUCGGAUUGUAAACCCCUGUCAUGUGGGCGCAAAUUAAAAAGCUAGUACCUCAAGAGGAAGAGACGGCUAACUCUGUGCCAGCAGCCGCGGUACUACAGAGGGCUCAAGCGUUGUUCGGAAUCACUGGGCGUAAAGCGUGCGUAGGCUGUUUCGUAAGUCGUGUGUGAAAGGCGCGGGCUCAACCCGCGGACGGCACAUGAUACUGCGAGACUAGAGUAAUGGAGGGGGAACCGGAAUUCUCGGUGUAGCAGUGAAAUGCGUAGAUAUCGAGAGGAACACUCGUGGCGAGGGCGGGUUCCUGGACAUUAACUGACGCUGAGGCACGAAGGCCAGGGGAGCGAAAGGGAUUAGAUACCCGAGUAGUC
rnacentral:rRNA from 1 species